GGGGGUAUAGCUCAGCGGCAGAGAGCGUGCUUAGUGUGCACAAGGUCCCGGGUUCAAUCCCCAGUGUCUCCA
rnacentral:tRNA from 1 species